rfam:Sus scrofa chromosome 7.
UCCUUGGUGGUCUAGGGGUUAGGACUUGGUGCUUUCACUGCUGUGGCCUGGGUUCAAACCCCGGUCUGGGAA